rnacentral:rRNA from 1 species
AGUGAACGCUGGCGGUAGGCCUAACACAUGCAAGUCGAACGGCAGCACAGUAAGAGCUUGCUCUUACGGGUGGCGAGUGGCGGACGGGGGAGGAAUACAUCGGAAUCUACUUUUUCGUGGGGGAUAACGUAGGGAAAAUUACGCUAAUACCGCAUACGACCUACGGGUGAAAGCAGGGGAUCUUCGGACCUUGCGCGAUUGAAUGAGCCGAUGUCGGAUUAGCUAGUUGGCGGGGUAAAGGCCCACCAAGGCGACGAUCCGUAGCUGGUCUGAGAGGAUGAUCAGCCACACUGGAGCUGAGACGCGGUCCAGACUCCUACGGGAGGCAGCAGUGGGGAAUAUUGGACAAUGGGCGCAAGCCUGAUCCAGCCAUACCGCGUGGGUGAAGAAGGCCUUCGGGUUGUAAAGCCCUUUUGUUGGGAAAGAAAAGCAGCAGGUUAAUACCCCGCUGUUCUGACGGUACCCAAAGAAUAAGCACCGGCUAACUUCGU